UCUAUCCUAUCCUUACCGCUGCGUCUACCUAAGAGGAGCGGGAGCUGCCAGCAUGGUGAGUGGGAGAGAGACCACCGGGCACAAGCACACGGCUGCACAACUGUCCGCUCCCUACAGACAACUUUCUCACACUUUUGACAGCCAUAGCAGAACUCAAUCAGGGAUGGAAAUGACACUCACUGGCAGCAUCCUGCAGUGUGGUAGAGGAACAAAUUUCCAAAGAGCACUGGAUGUAGAGCAUGAAACAUAUGGAACAUGUAGAUGGUCUGUCCAGUGCACAACAAGGUGUACACCUACACUCCGCUCUCAGGAGAUGCCUGUUUUGCUAGUGAUUAUUGAAUAAACAUUUUAAAUU